rnacentral:misc_RNA from 1 species
AAGUCGUAACAAGGUUUCCGUAGGUGAACCUGCGGAAGGAUCAUUAACACGUAUCCAACGUUAAACCCCCCGUGAACCUUCAUUGUGCUCCCCCAUUCCGUUAGGACGCGGCAAUCCCUGGUAAAUCAUCGCCGAACAGUUUUGAUUCAGGGACCUCUGCAUGGAGUGGGCAGCAGCGCGAGGCAAGUGGCCUGGCAUUCGAAAGAAUGGCGCAGUAACGAUCGCUAGAGGCCGACACGGCCGGCGACCGGGUCACUGGGCUCACGCCCCCUAUCACCUUUGCAUGAAAACGGGCCUGCGCUUAAUUGUGCGGCCACCAAACUCGAACAACUGUUAACAAUGGAUAUCUUGGUUCUC